rfam:Salmo salar isolate Sally breed double haploid chromosome ssa01, whole genome shotgun sequence.
CCCUGUGGCUCAGUUGGUAGAGCAUGGUGUUUGCAAUGCCAACAUGGUGUGUGCAACGCCAGGGUUGUGGGUUCAAUUCCCACAGGGG